GAACCUGAAACCGUGUACGUACAAGCAGUGGGAGCACAGAGCAAUCUGUGUGACUGCGUACCUUUUGUAUAAUGGGUCAGCGACUUAUAUUCUGUAGCAAGGUUAACCGAAUAGGGGAGCCGAAGGGAAACCGAGUCUUAACUGGGCGUUAAGUUGCAGGGUAUAGACCCGAAACCCGGUGAUCUAGCCAUGGGCAGGUUGAAGGUUGGGUAACACUAACUGGAGGACCGAACCGACUAAUGUUGAAAAAUUAGCGGAUGACUUGUGGCUGGGGGUGAAAGGCCAAUCAAACCGGGAGAUAGCUGGUUCUCCCCGAAAGCUAUUUAGGUAGCGCCUCGUGAAUUCAUCUCCGGGGGUAGAGCACUGUUUCGGCAAGGGGGUCAUCCCGACUUACCAACCCGAUGCAAACUGCGAAUACCGGAGAAUGUUAUCACGGGAGACACACGGCGGGUGCUAACGUCCGUCGUGAAGAGGGAAACAACCCAGACCGCCAGCUAAGGUCCCAAAGUCAUGGUUAAGUGGGAAACGAUGUGGGAAGGCCCAGACAGCCAGGAUGUUGGCUUAGAAGCAGCCAUCAUUUAAAGAAAGCGUAAUAGCUCACUGGUCGAGUCGGCCUGCGCGGAAGAUGUAACGGGGCUAAACCAUGCACCGAAGCUGCGGCAGCGACACUGUGUGUUGUUGGGUAGGGGAGCGUUCUGUAAGCCUGUGAAGGUGUGCUGUGAGGCAUGCUGGAGGUAUCAGAAGUGCGAAUGCUGACAUAAGUAACGAUAAAGCGGGUGAAAAGCCCGCUCGCCGGAAGACCAAGGGUUCCUGUCCAACGUUAAUCGGGGCAGGGUGAGUCGACCCCUAAGGCGAGGCCGAAAGGCGUAGUCGAUGGGAAACAGGUUAAUAUUCCUGUACUUGGUGUUACUGCGAAGGGGGGACGGAGAAGGCUAUGUUGGCCGGGCGACGGUUGUCCCGGUUUAAGCGUGUAGGCUGGUUUUCCAGGCAAAUCCGGAAAAUCAAGGCUGAGGCGUGAUGACGAGGCACUACGGUGCUGAAGCAACAAAUGCCCUGCUUCCAGGAAAAGCCUCUAAGCAUCAGGUAACAUCAAAUCGUACCCCAAACCGACACAGGUGGU
rnacentral:rRNA from 1 species